rnacentral:rRNA from 1 species
AGUGAACGCUGGCGGUAGGCCUAACACAUGCAAGUCGAACGGCAGCACAGUAAGAGCUUGCUCUUACGGGUGGCGAGUGGCGGACGGGUGAGGAAUACAUCGGAAUCUACUUUUUCGUGGGGGAUAACGUAGGGAAACUUACGCUAAUACCGCAUACGACCUACGGGUGAAGGCAGGGGAUCUUCGGACCUUGCGCGAUUGAAUGAGCCGAUGUCGGAUUAGCUAGUUGGCGGGGUAAAGGCCCACCAAGGCGACGAUCCGUAGCUGGUCUGAGAGGAUGAUCAGCCACACUGGAACUGAGACACGGUCCAGACUCCUACGGGAGGCAGCAGUGGGGAAUAUUGGACAAUGGGCGCAAGCCUGAUCCAGCCAUACCGCGUGGGUGAGGAAGGCCUUCGGGUUGUAAAGCCCUUUUGUUGGGAAAGAAAAGCAGCAGGUUAAUACCCCGCUGUUCUGACGGUACCCAAAGAAUAAGCACCGGCUAACUUCGUG